rnacentral:rRNA from 1 species
GACGAACGCUGGCGGCGUGCUUAACACAUGCCAGUCGAGCGGAAAGGCCACUUCGGUGGUACUCGAGCGGCGAACGGGUGAGUAACACGUGAGUAAUCUGCCCCCCACUUAGGGAUAGCCACCGGAAACGGUGAUUAAUACCGGAUAUGACCAUAUGUCGCAUGGCGUGUGGUGGAAAGUAUGGCGGUGAGGGAUGUGCUCGCGGCCUAUCAGCUUGAUGGUGAGGUAAUGGCUCACCAUGGCUUCGACGGGUAGCCGGCCUGAGAGGGUGACCGGUCACACUGGGACUGAGACACGGCCCAGACUCCUACGGGAGGCAGCAGUGGGGAAUAUUGGACAAUGGGCGGAAGCCUGAUCCAGCAACGCCGCGUGAGGGAUGACGGCCUUCGGGUUGUAAACCUCUUUCAGUACCGACGAAGCGCAAGUGACGGUAGGUACAGAAGAAGCACCGGCCAACUACGUG